CCAAUAGCGUAUAUUAAAGUUGUUGCAGUUAAAAAGCUCGUAGUUGAAUUUCGGAAUCAAUAUGCCGGUCAUGCCUUGGUAUGCACUGGUAUCUUUGAUUUCUCCCUUCUGACGAACUUUGAUGUCAUUAAUUUGGUGUCAUAGGGAAUCAGGACUGUUACUUUGAAAAAAUUAGAGUGUUUAAAGCAAGCUCACGCUUGAAUACAUUAGCAUGGAAUAA
rnacentral:rRNA from 1 species